CGCUAAGAAGCUAUAGGGAACAGCAGCAGCCUUUUAAGCUGCAGACAGGUGGCCCCCACCCACCCUUAACGA
rnacentral:tRNA from 1 species